CACUCCUACGGGAGGCAGCAGUGGGGAAUAUUGGACAAUGGGCGCAAGCCUGAUCCAGCCAUGCCGCGUGAGUGAUGAAGGCCCUAGGGUUGUAAAGCUCUUUCACCGGUGAAGAUAAUGACGGUAACCGGAGAAGAAGCCCCGGCUAACUUCGUGCCAGCAGCCGCGGUAAUACGAAGGGGGCUAGCGUUGUUCGGAUUUACUGGGCGUAAAGCGCACGUAGGCGGACUAUUAAGUCAGGGGUGAAAUCCCGGGUCUCAACCCCGGAACUGCCUUUGAUACUAGUAGUCUUGAGUUCGAGAGAGGUGAGUGGAAUUCCGAGUGUAGAGGUGAAAUUCGUAGAUAUUCGGAGGAACACCAGUGGCGAAGGCGGCUCACUGGCUCGAUACUGACGCUGAGGUGCGAAAGCGUGGGGAGCAAACAGGAUUAGAAACCCCAGUAGUCCC
rnacentral:rRNA from 1 species